rnacentral:lncRNA from 1 species
CUAAAACUGCAAAAAAGGGCAGCAAGAAUAAUUUUAGACGAACAUGAUUACACCAAACCUUCAAGAGAAUUAUUUCACGAAUGUAACAUUGUGCCAAUCACACAAAGAAUACUUUAUCACAAAUCAUUACUAAUGUAUAAGGCAAAACAUGGCUUAGCUCCAGAAUAUAUGUCCAGUCUCAUUGUAUCAGCUUCUGCAAACCAAAAAUAUAAUACGAGAUUUUCAUCCUCAGAUAAUUUUAUUAUUCCAAAACCAAAUACAGAGUUGUAUAAGUCUAGUUUCUCGUACAAUGGAC